rnacentral:rRNA from 1 species
UGAACGCUGGCGGCAGGCCUAACACAUGCAAGUCGAACGGUAACAGGAUAGCUUGCUAUCGCUGACGAGUGGCGGACGGGUGAGUAAUACUUAGGGAUCUGCCUCUGUGUGGGGGAUAACUAUUGGAAACGAUAGCUAAUACCGCAUAAUGUCUCCGGACCAAAGAGGGCUUUUAGCUCUCGCGCAGAGAGGAACCUAAGCGAGAUUAGCUAGUUGGUGAGGUAAAGGCUCACCAAGGCGACGAUCUCUAGCUGUUCUGAGAGGAAGAUCAGCCACACUGGAACUGAGACACGGUCCAGACUCCUACGGGAGGCAGCAGUGGGGAAUAUUGCACAAUGGGGGAAACCCUGAUGCAGCCAUGCCGCGUGUGUGAAGAAGGCCUUCGGGUUGUAAAGCACUUUCAGUUGUGAGGAAAGUUUAGUAGUUAAUACCUGCUAGAUGUGACGUUAGCAACAGAAGAAGCACCGGCUAACUCCGUGC